AGAGCGAACGCUGGCGGCAGGCCUAACACAUGCAAGUCGAGCGCCCGUAGCAAUACGGGAGCGGCAGACGGGAUAGUAACACGUGGGAACGCGCCCUUCGGUUCGGAAUAACUCAGGGAAACUUGAGCUAAUACCGAAUACGCCCUUACGGGGAAAGAUUUAUUGCCGAAGGAACGGCCCGCGUCCGAUUAGCUAGUUGGUGAGGUAAUGGCUCACCAAGGCUACGAUCGGUAGCUGGUCUGAGAGGAUGACCAGCAUCACUAGGACUGAGACACGGCCCAGACUCCUACGGGAGGCAGCAGUGGGGAAUAUUGGACAAUGGGCGCAAGCCUGAUCCAGCCAUGCCGCGUGGAUGAUGAAGGCCUUAGGGUUGUAAAGUCCUUUUAACGGGGAAGAUAAUGACGGUACCCGUAGAAUAAGCCCGGCUAACUUCGCGCCAGCAGCCGC
rnacentral:rRNA from 1 species